UCCGUGGUGGCCCAGUGGUUAGAACUCUGCACUUCCACUGCAGGGGGCGUAGGUUCCAUCCCUGCUCAGGGAA
rfam:Ovis aries breed Texel chromosome 7, whole genome shotgun sequence.